CAUCCAGAGAACUUGGCAGAGAUGCCUUGGUGCCUUCGGGACCUCUGAGACAGGUGCUGCAUGGCUGUCGUCAGCUCGUGUUGUGAAAUGUUGGGUUAAGUCCCGNAACGAGCGCAACCCCUAUCCUUUGUUGCCAGCGAUUCGGUCGGGAACUCAAAGGAGACUGCCGGUGAUAAACCGGAGGAAGGUGGGGAUGACGUCAAGUCAUCAUGGCCCUUACGAGUAGGGCUACACACGUGCUACAAUGGCGCAUACAAAGAGAAGCGACCUCGCGAGAGCAAGCGGACCUCAUAAAGUGCGUCGUAGUCCGGAUCGGAGUCUGCAACUCGACUCCGUGAAGUCGGAAUCGCUAGUAAUCGUAGAUCAGAAUGCUACGGUGAAUACGUUCCCGGGCCUUGUACACACCGCCCGUCACACCAUGGGAGUGGGUUGCAAAAGAAGUAGAUAGCUUAACCUUCGGGAGGGCGUUUACCACUUUGUGAUUCAUGACUGGGGUGAAGUCGUAACAAGGUAGGCGUAGCGAG
rnacentral:rRNA from 1 species